rnacentral:rRNA from 1 species
CGAAAGCCUGACGGAGCAAUACCGCGUGAGGGAAAUGACGGCCUUUGGGUUGUAAACCUCUUUUAUCAAGGAGGAAGUUCUGACGUGUACUUGAUGAAUAAGCAUCGGCUAACUCCGUGCCAGCAGCCGCGGUAAGACGGAGGAUGCAAGUGUUAUCCGGAAUCACUGGGCGUAAAGCGUCUGUAGGUGGUUUAAAAAGUCUACUGUUAAAGCUUGAAGCUUAACUUCAAAAAUGCCGUAGAAACUUUUAAACUUGAGUGUGGUAGGGGUAGAGGGAAUUUCCAGUGGAGCGGUGAAAUGCGUAGAUCUUGGAAAGACCACCAAUGGCGAAGGCACUCUACUGGGCCAUUACUGACACUAAGAGACGAAAGCUAGGGGAGCA